GGCGAUCUAUCCAUGGGCAGGUUGAAGGUUGGGUAACACUAACUGGAGGACCGAACCGACUACCGUUGAAAAGUUAGCGGAUGACCUGUGGAUCGGAGUGAAAGGCUAAUCAAGCUCGGAGAUAGCUGGUUCUCCUCGAAAGCUAUUUAGGUAGCGCCUCAUGUAUCACUGUAGGGGGUAGAGCACUGUUUCGGCUAGGGGGUCAUCCCGACUUACCAAACCGAUGCAAACUCCGAAUACCUACAAGUGCCGAGCAUGGGAGACACA
rnacentral:rRNA from 1 species